CAGCAGCCGCGGUAAUACGUAGGGAGCAAGCGUUAUCCGGAUUCAUUGGGCGUAAAGCGCGCGUAGGCGGCUUAUUAAGUCAGGUGUCAAAUCUGAGGGCUCAACCCCCAACCGCACCUGAAACUGGUAGGCUCGAGUUCGGUAGAGGAAAGUGGAAUUCCCAGUGUAGCGGUGGAAUGCGCAGAUAUUGGGAAGAACACCGGUGGCGAAGGCGGCUUUCUGGGCCGUAACUGACGCUGAGGCGCGAAAGCUAGGGGAGCAAACAGGAUUAGAUACCCUGGUAGUCCUAGCCGUAAACGAUGGGCACUAGGUGUGGGGAGAUCACUCUUUCCGUGCCGCAGCUAACGCAUUAAGUGCCCCGCCUGGGGAGUACGACCGCAAGGUUAAAACUCAAAGGAAUUGACGGGGGCCCGCACAAGCAGCGGAGCAUGUGGCUUAAUUCGAAGCAACGCGAAGAACCUUACCUGGGCUUGACAUGCAAGUGAAGCGGCGGAAACGUCGUGGCCGAAAGGAGCUUGCACAGGAGGUGCAUGGCC
rnacentral:rRNA from 1 species